rnacentral:rRNA from 1 species
GACGAACGCUGGCGGCGUGCUUAACACAUGCAAGUCGAACGGAAAGGCCCUGCUUUUGUGGGGUGCUCGAGUGGCGAACGGGUGAGUAACACGUGAGUAACCUGCCCUUGACUUUGGGAUAACUUCAGGAAACGGGGGCUAAUACCGGAUAGCAGCUCCUGCUGCAUGGUGGGGGUUGGAAAGUUUCGGCGGUUGGGGAUGGACUCGCGGCUUAUCAGCUUGUUGGUGGGGUAGUGGCUUACCAAGGCUUUGACGGGUAGCCGGCCUGAGAGGGUGACCGGCCACAUUGGGACUGAGAUACGGCCCAGACUCAUACGGGAGGCAGCAGUGGGGAAUAUUGCACAAUGGGCGGAGGCCGGAUGCAGCAACGUCGCGUGGGAGAUGACGGCCUUCGGGUUGUAACCCGCUUUCGCCUGUGACGAAGCGUGAGUGACGGUAAUGGGUAAAGAAGCACCGGCUAACUACGUG